rnacentral:rRNA from 1 species
UACAGAGGUGGCAAGCGUUGUUCGGAAUUACUGGGCGUAAAGGGCGCGUAGGCGGCCAUCUAAGUCAGACGUGAAAUCCCCCGGCUUAACCUGGGAACUGCGUCUGAUACUGGACGGCUCGAGUUUGGGAGAGGGAUGCAGAAUUCCAGGUGUAGCGGUGAAAUGCGUAGGUAUCUGGAGGAAUACCGGUGGCGAAGGCGGCAUCCUGGACUAAUACUGACGCUGAGGCGCGAAAGCUAGGGGAGCAAACGGG